rnacentral:rRNA from 1 species
UACGUAGGGGCAAGCGUUGUCCGGAUUUAUUGGGCGUAAAGAGCUUGUAGGCGGCUAGGUAGGUCCGUUGUGAAAACUCGAGGCUCAACCUCGAGACGCCGGUGGAAACCAUCUAGCUAGAGUCCGGAAGAGGAGAGUGGAAUUCCUGGUGUAGCGGUGAAAUGCGCAGAUAUCAGGAAGAACACCCGUGGCGAAGGCGGCUCUCUGGGACGUGACUGACGCUGAGGCACGAAGGCCAGGGGAGCAAACGGG